CCGUUCCCGUAAGUGUCUCACGGCACGAUUAGCGGGCAGCUGUUAUCAGUGGGACGCGACUGUUACCCGAGGGCACUGUUUCAGCCGGGUCACAUGCACACAGAUAACACAGAAUCCUGCCGAGCCCCCCGUGACUCUGUUCCACCUCCGUCCGACGUUGGAGUGGAGUAGCUGUACCUGAGAAUGCUAGGCGGCGGGGGAGACGGAUUCAUUUGAGAUGGGCAUGGAGAGAUCACGGAUCUGAGUGGAGGUCCGCUUGCUGGAAGCCUGGAACAAGAGGAGCCAGGGAAUCAGCCGCAGGUCCGGGCGGGCGGCACCGGGGCACCGCCGCUGGUGCGAUCCCGCGCCGGGAGGCAUUGUUCAAUUAGAUCCCAGCUCAAAAUAGGCAGGCAGGAGGCUUCGCUAAAUCUGUACCUGCGUCCAUGAUUUGGCCGUCAGCAUGCAGAAUCACAGCAAGCUCAAUAAGCUGCCCACAAUUCUGGAAGAAGAUGAGUCAGACAGGGGUGACUGGUAUGGACUUAUCCAAGCAAGCAUUUUUUCCAAGGCGCAUAUUUGUCUCAUGCUGUUGAUGCGUCUUUGUGCUUAAUAAAUGUUUAAUCCAUGUUACUGACUAAUGUAUUACACCUUGAAAUAUCUC